AGAAAAGCAGGGGAUCGCAAGACCUUGCGCUUUUGGAGCGGCCGAUGUCUGAUUAGCUAGUUGGUGAGGUAAAGGCUUACCAAGGCUUCGAUCAGUAGCUGGUCUGAGAGGACGACCAGCCACACUGGGACUGAGACACGGCCCAGACUCCUACGGGAGGCAGCAGUGGGGAAUUUUGGACAGUGGGGGCAACCCUGAUCCAGCCAUGCCGCGUGAGUGAAGAAGGCCUUCGGGUUGUAAAGCUCUUUCAGCCGGAACGAAAAGGUUACGGUUAAUACCCGUGACUAAUGACGGUACCGGAAGAAGAAGCACCGGCUAACUACGUGCCAGCAGCCGCGGUAAUACGUAGGGUGCGAGCGUUAAUCGGAAUUACUGGGCGUAAAGCGUGCGCAGGCGGUUUUGUAAGUCAGAUGUGAAAUCCCCGGGCUUAACCUGGGAACUGCGUUUGAAACUACAAGGCU
rnacentral:rRNA from 1 species